rnacentral:rRNA from 1 species
ACUGCUCAGUAACACGUGGACAAUCUACCCUAUGGAGGGGGAUAACCCCGGGAAACUGGGGAUAAUACCCCAUAGACUAUGGAUGCUGGAAUGCUCUGUAGUCGAAAGGUCCGCCGCCAUAGGAUGGGUCUGCGGCCGAUUAGGUUGUUGUUGGGGUAACGGCCCAACAAGCCUGUAAUCGGUACGGGUUGUGGGAGCAAGAGCCCGGAGAUGGAUUCUGAGACACGAAUCCAGGCCCUACGGGGCGCAGCAGGCGCGAAAACUUUGCAAUGCGGGAAACCGUGACAAGGGAACUCUGAGUGCCCGUAAAAUCGGGCUGUCCAUCGGUUUAAAAAACCGGUGAAGAAAGGGCCGGGCAAGACCGGUGCCAGCCGCCGCGGUAAUACCGGCGGCUCGAGUGGUGGCCACUAUUACUGGGCUUAAAGCGUUCGUAGCUGGUUUGUUAAGUCUCUGGGGAAAUCUUCCGGCUUAACCGGAAGGCGUCUCAGGGAUACUGGCAGACUAGGGACCGGGAGAGGUGAGAGGUACUCCAGGGGUAGGAGUGAAAUCCUGUAAUCCUUGGGGGACCACCUGUGGCGAAGGCAUCUCACCAGAACGGCUCCGACAGUGAGGGACGAAAGCUGGGGGAGCAAACCGGAUUAGAUACCCGGGUAGUCCCAGCUGUAAACGAUGCGCGUUAGGUGUAUCGGUGACCACGAGUCACCGAGGUGCCGAAGAGAAAUCGUGAAACGUGCCGCCUGGGAAGUACGGUCGCAAGGCUGAAACUUAAAGGAAUUGGCGGGGGAGCAC